rnacentral:misc_RNA from 1 species
GGUGGUGAACAAGCUUGAGAUCCACUACCAGGACGCUGUCCCAACUGCUGACCAGAAGCUUGAACAGAAGGUUGGGCACGAUUUUGGACAGUACUCCGNNNNNNNNNNNAACAGAAUGGGGCUGUGUUGGAGAUGAGACUCUGUUGACUUGAUUUUGCACAGGGGCUGACUGAUAAGUCAUCUGACUUGAAAUAGUUACACCCCUUCCUUGNNNUUGAGAGGAUUGCAUGCUAUUGACCAAUGAAGAUCCAGGUGACAUUUGAAUAGUGUUCAAGGACUUACCAGCUGUUGAAGGAACAGAAUCAUCAACAUAAAGUUU